GACGAACGCUGGCGGCGUGCCUAAUACAUGCAAGUAGAACGCACAGUUUAUACCGUAGCUUGCUACACCAUAAACUGUGAGUUGCGAACGGGUGAGUAACGCGUAGGUAACCUGCCUGGUAGCGGGGGAUAACUAUUGGAAACGAUAGCUAAUACCGCAUAAUAUUGAUUAUUGCAUGAUAAUUGAUUGAAAGAUGCUAUUGCAUCACUACCAGAUGGACCUGCGUUGUAUUAGCUAGUAGGUGAGGUAACGGCUCACCUAGGCGACGAUACAUAGCCGACCUGAGAGGGUGAUCGGCCACACUGGGAGUGAGACACGGCCCAGACUCCUACGGGAGGCAGCAGUAGGGAAUCUUCGGCAAUGGACGAAAGUCUGACCGAGCAACGCCGCGUGAGUGAAGAAGGUUUUCGGAUCGUAAAGCUCUGUUGUAAGAGAAGAACGGGUGUGAGAGUGGAAAGUUCACACUGUGACGGUAUCUUACCAGAAAGGGACGGCUAACUACGUG
rnacentral:rRNA from 1 species